UGGGGAAUUUUGGACAAUGGGCGAAAGCCUGAUCCAGCCAUUCCGCGUGCAGGAUGAAGGCCCUCGGGUUGUAAACUGCUUUUGUACGGAACGAAAAGCCCUCUUCUAAUACAGGAGGGUCAUGACGGUACCGUAAGAAUAAGCACCGGCUAACUACGUGCCAGCAGCCGCGGUAAUACGUAGGGUGCAAGCGUUAAUCGGAAUUACUGGGCGUAAGGCGUGCGCAGGCGGUUUUGUAAGACAGAGGUGAAAUCCCCGGGCUCAACCUGGGAACUGCCUUUGUGACUGCAAGGCUGGAGUGCGGCAGAGGGGGAUGGAAUUCCGCGUGUAGCAGUGAAAUGCGUAGAUAUGCGGAGGAACACCGAUGGCGAAGGCAAUCCCCUGGGCCUGCACUGACGCUCAUGCACGAAAGCGUGGGGAGCAAACA
rnacentral:rRNA from 1 species